GGCAAGGUGAUGUCUCUGCUUUGUUGGCAAUGUGAUGUCUCACAACCUUGUGAGGCAGGUUAGACUGAGAGGCAGAUGACUAGCCGAAGGUCACCCAAUGAGCUUCACGGCUGAGAGGGGAUUUGUACCACGAUCUCCUAGCUCCUAGUCUCACACUUUAAGAACUACAGUAAACCAAACUGGCCAGAGCAACCCAGCUGGAAUGGUGAUGGAUUUCUUUUCCACAUGAGGAUGAAUCAAGAGAAGUGCCAUCCGUGGGUUUGUGGUACAGAGCGAGCAACAUAAACUCUAAGAAGCUAUUGCAAUUUAAACGAGGGUAAAUCGUGCUGCUGUAACUUACUCCUUUUUCCAAAAACUCUGUUCAGCAGCAGGGCUAAAGCAGUAUCAUACCACUAUAAACAGUACUCUUUUUUGAUAAUAAUUUUUAUAAGUUUUCAAUUACAAUAACAGCCUCAUUAUAACAAUGCCAAAUUAUAAUACAAUUAGUAAUACCAAUCAUUCAGAUGCCAAAUUGUACAAUUUGGGUGCUCCACCCUACCCCACAUGCUAGAAUUGAUGGGUGGAUGAUUUACUUUAUUUCCACGUUCCAAAAUCUUAUAAAUUUCAGUUACACUCCAGUCAAAAUAACAAUCCCUUAUACCGCAACUGCAGUUUUAAUGACUUCCAUUCGUAUUGACACAUUCAAUGAUUUAUAAAGCUACAGGUGAAGCAUUCAAAGUCUCUCCUUGUUCUUCCUGUGUGUGGCAGUUAUUCUGUCCGUAAUGUUUCUUCCUGUCCUUGUAAUAUAUUACGUCUAUCUUUUGGCACUAUAAACAUUCCUGGCUUCUUCCAAAGAAUCCUGGAAACUGUAGUUUGUUAAGGGUGCUGAGAGUUCUUAGCAAACUCCUUAUUCCCUCUACUUCCCAGAUACAGUUCCCAGAGUUUCCUGAAAAGAGGGAUGGAUUGUUAAACUAUUCUGGGAAUUGAGGGGACACGAGUCUCCUUUCAGCACCCUUAACAAACUACAGUUUCCAGGAUUCUUUGGAGGAAUCUGUGGAUGUUUAAAGCGACUCGAUACUGCUUAAAAUGGAUAGCCCAGAUGGGGCCUAGAAGUCCAGGGAGUUCAAGAGAACUAGAAAGACCCCAAAGAAAAUUCAUUGGCUUUACAGCAAAGUAGAUCAGAUUUAAUUGUACCGAAGGUUUUGGCUUACACCAAGGCAAUGACACUGACCGGAGCUUAACAGAGCUCAGAACAGAACGCCGUGUGUGGAGAUUAAAGAAAAACAAAAGCAAAUGAAGGAUCCAUGAGACAUGACUCUGACUCUUCUUUUUUGCUUUGCAGUUGCUGCGAAUGAAAGGUUUGCGGCCAGAGGUUGUGCUGUGCCCAGCGUCUGCGAGCAUAGCAAGGGGAUGGCUGUUUUUGCUGGUGUUUACACUUACACACUGUCCACAGUCAGGGAAUGCUACGAAGCCCCUUCUGCGAAAAAUGCUGCCUGUCUACAC